GUUACGUUCGCUAAUUGCAUAGUAUUUAAGCACUUCUCGACUAAUGUCCCCAUACAGACUAUAGGACACCCCUCCCCCCAACAUUUUGGCGGUUUGGCUGCACUCCCUUUUCCACUCUCGCACUCCCGGUCUCAUCAGACUCAAGUCCCCAAAUAGACUAUACGAACAGAUCCCCCCACCCCACCCCAGAUGCUUUUGGCGGGCUCAGUUUUACAACUAGGCUAUAUCAGCACUUUUUGUAUUCCAUAGGUUUAGUCUAAAACAUUUCUAAUUGAUGAUACCGGAAUAUAAACAAUUAAAUUAAUGAAAAUAAAAAUGUAUUAAUUUCGGUUAUUUUAUUUCAAACAACGCAAGAGAUUCACGUCCAAUCAGCAGCGAUCUAUCCCACAACGUCUUUCUUCUACAACAAGAAGUACUUUGACAAGCGCCAUUUUGAUGAAACCAGGAGUAGGUGAAACGUGGAGGAGAGGACACGUGUGUGCUGUAAAUAUAUUACUUGUUGAGCAUGUGAAAUGACAAGUACCAACUCGGAGAGGUUCUUAAAACGAAUUUUAGUUUUGCGCCAGCAUCACUCAAAGUGUGAAUCCCUCUAUGAUAAAAUGGUAUAGUUGACAGCUACACUCUCAUUAGUUUGCACAUCACAGUAAUGUUCCUGUUUGACAAUUCUCUAAAUAAAUUGUGUAUGGGAUGAGGCAAAAUUGUAAUAUAAAAGGAUGAUGUUGCUCUUAUUAAAUCAAUAAUAGACCAUUUAAUGCAAUGAACUGCUAUAGACCCAGGACUUGGAGAUGGAGGCAUACUGUAGAUGACUGUUACUGUUUGCCUGUGUGCCAUGUGAAGAAAGAGCAAUCAUUAUUGUUCAUAUGCAAUAAAAACAUUCUUGAGAAAAUGUCUUAUGGGCAUGAAUAGUGGAAUUAGAUGAUCAUUUCAUAGCUUAUACUGUAUGUUUGUUACAGGCAACCAUGGGGAAGCAGGAGAGCGAUGCAGAAUCGGGAUACAAAACGGAAGGCCCAAAAAGAACAACAAAAGUACGAAAUAACAGUGCUUCAGAAUCAGUUCCAGA